rnacentral:lncRNA from 1 species
GGCUCUUUGUUUCUUCAUAGUUGGCUCUCAAGCGCUCUCCGAACGACCAAAGGUCUUCUGAGACUAAGAGCUUGUCGUACAAAGCAGCAAUUCCAGGGUCUCCUUUAGCGAACACCAUUUCAACCAAAUCAAUGGUGACCCUAAAGAAGGGCCAUUCGUUGUACAUCUCCUGCAGCAUUUGAAGGUUCUUAACAUUCUUCUGAAUAAUAUGCUUGAAUGCUGCUCCAAAGCCUAACCAAACUGGUAGAUGGAAUCUCGUCUGUGUCCAUGCAAAAAUCCAUGGGAUUGCACGGAGUGACUCGAUACCACCACUUGGCUUCCGCUUUGAUGGAC